rnacentral:rRNA from 1 species
UACGAAGGGGGCUAGCGUUGUUCGGAAUUACUGGGCGUAAAGCGCGCGUAGGCGGCUUGGUAAGUCGGAUGUGAAAGCCCCGGGCUCAACCUGGGAACUGCAUUCGAUACUGCUGAGCUGGAGUACGAAAGAGGGGGGUGGAAUUCCAGGUGUAGCGGUGAAAUGAGUAGAGAUCUGGAGGAACACCAGUGGCGAAGGCGGCCCCCUGGUUCGAUACUGACGCUGAGGUGCGAAAGCGUGGGGAGCAAACAGG